AUGGGUGUUUGGUGAGCUUAGAUCAGAAUAGCGCAGCAAAAGCAUGGCAUACUGAAUUAUUUUGAAACCAGACCAAAACACUAACUUUGAUUUGUAAAGUGCUAUUACUUGAUUUGGUGGUCUUUGCAUAGAAAAGUGAAGUCAUUUAGAAAUAGAAGAAUAGAAUCAAAUGGAAAUAUCCCCAUCUCUUCAAAUCUACAGGUAUAAAAAUUUUGAGGAUGAAAUUUUUUUUAAGAGAGAAUAAUGUAAUAUCCAUCCCAUUUGGCCUAAUCAAGAAUUAGGUCUAGUCCGCUUGAAUGGCCCAAAUAAGAGAAUCAGCCCAUACAAAAAUUGCCCUAUAUGUGCUGGGGGGAGCUUGCGAUGCACAUGCACCCCACGUGCCACAAAAAAGCGGACUCCCGAUGGGAGUCACCUACUUCCCCAUUUUCUUCGGUGAAGUGCAAUGGCAAAGGGGAGUUCGGCGCUUUCCUCCAGCACUAUUUAGAGGAUCGAGUCUUUCUUUUGACCAACCCGUCGAAGACCUCGACGUCAAAGUGGCAAUUGCCGAUGGUUGCUCAAGUUUUAACCGGAUGACUUCUGCCACCGUCGCGGCCUAAGCACAGCUAGAAACCAAGUUAAUCACCAGAUUUUGUCGAGAAAGGGAUGCCCUGCUCUAUUCCUCUGUUCAUUCCAAUCUUCUUCAUUCUUUUCCAAGCAUCUGCGUCGCCGAUGCUUGCCGAUGAAGCUUUCAACCGGUUCCCGAUGCUGAUUGAGCUCCUUGCUUGAGCCCCAACCGACAAGCGAGCGAUUGGAGCUAGGGAAUCCACUGCAUCCCCUGUCCGGCUGACUCAUGGUAGUGCUUCAGAGCUAAGGAUCAUAGCACUUCGAUUUCGAAAACAAGUAGGAAUCGAACUGGAAAAGACCGUUAGCGCAGGUGAUUGUCCGAAACCCAGCAGAAAUUGAAAAGCUUCCUCCGAUUUUUGACCUGAUCGGAACAGUCCAAAAAACUGUAAAUAAAAUCCUGCCUCACGCCUUUACACAUACAUCUUCAAGCUCUCCUCUGCUCUAAUCUCUCUCUCUAUCUCUCUAUUUCUCUCUCCGAGCCAGCAAUGGAUCCAUGGUUGAACUUUGUCCGCUGCAACACAUCGUUGCAGCUCAGAGCCUUCUUCGAAGUGGGAGGCCACCCCAAAGCAGAGCCCAUGGUGGAAGUCAGACUCCUCGUCUCAAGGUCUCGCAUCCCCCAGACGGGCCGCAACGCGGACGAUCUUGGCUUCCUCCCCAUCACCAGCCUCUUGAACAAUCGCCUCUGUGGGCUCCAAGUCGAGCGCAUGUUCUCACAAAGUCGGCCUUCCCCAUCGCAACGACAUCAACUUCUGGACGAACCUGAUAUGCUCCUACGCCUUAUCAUGCCACAACUACCGCGCUUUCUCAAGGCUCCAACGGGCUCUUCAUCCUCGUCGAUCUUAAUAUCUCAUUCUCAAAGCCGGUGAUCCACAAAGGAUUGCUGCUUUCUUUCAAGGAGGCGGCGGGUACCGAAUGGGGUGUUCGGGGGCAUGCCAGCAUCCGAGUCUUCGAACGAGGCUAUGAAGACCAAGAGGUAUCAAGAGGGCGGAAAUGAUGGGUCGGCAUGCGCUGUUUGCUUGGAGGAUUUCGAGGCCAAAGAUCAGCUGACCGUAAUGCCGUGUUAUCACAAGUUUCACCAGUCUUGCGUGACUAUAUGGCUCCAACGGAGCAACAUCUGCCCGCUAUGUCGUUGUGCGUUGCCGAUGGUCAUUGGAGAAGGUGUGAUGGCAUAGGUUUUAACGUCGGCUCCACUCUUGAUUUGGUGCGUUGGUGGUGUAUUUGGGCGUGUCAUUCUUUUUUGAUAAAUAGCAAAGACAACAUAACAUUGUCGCCUUCA